rnacentral:misc_RNA from 1 species
UUUUUGGAUAGAAAGAAGCAUCACCACAACAUUUUAUUCAAAUGGUUCCACUAGACCAUGAAUUCUUGUUUCAGCUAACAUUGAUGUGACAUUUGUUAUAUAUCAACACCAGUUUAGGGAUUGAACCCUUGUUUACAAGUGGGGAAAAAAAAUGUAAAAGAAACUCAACAUUGCCAGUGUCAAAAAUGUCCCAGUAAUUUGACUACACAAGUGAAGUUCGCAACACCACCCCUUCAUGGCAAAACCUAUGUUUUUGAGCAAUUAUUACUGUGGAUAAAUGAUUUGGCAUUUACGACGAAGCUGCUUUCUUGCAGCAAUUUUCAAGCCAAUCCAUUGUAACACUUUUUGGCCUCUCAAGUGGCAACCCAAGAGCUCGGUCCCAUAUUAGCUGAGAGCAAAUACCAAUACUUCUUGAUACACCAAAAAGAACAGUGAAAUACCUAGCUUCAGUUAAACCAUAAUAGUUCAGCAAUACCCCACUGUGAGCAUCAACAUUGGGCCAGGGGUUUUUAACCUUGCCUAGCUCAGUAAGGAUUGGAGGCACAACUUCAUACAGCUUAGAAACCAGCUGGAACAGUGGAUCAUUAGGUAAGUGCUUCAAUGCAAACUCCCUUUGGCAUGUGUAUCUUGGAUCAGUUUUACGUAAAACUCCAUGACCAAAUCCAGGAACAACCUUUCCACUAUUUAAUGUUUUCCAGACGUAGUCUUUCAGUUGUUCUGUGGUUAUAUUCUCCCCACACUCCUCCACUACAGAUUUAAUCCAAAGCAAAACUUCCUGAUUAGCCAAGCCAUGGAGUGGUCCAGCCAAACCAUUCAAUGCAGCUGCAAAUGAAAGAUAAGGAUCUGAAAGUGCACUAGCAACCAGAUGGCCGGUAUGAGCACUGACAUUGCCACCUUCAUGAUCACUAUGGAUUGUAACAUAAAGCCUCAUAAGCUCUUGCAUCUGGGGGCUAUCAAAUCCCAACAUAUGUGAAAAAUUUCCACCAUAAUCCAGAGAGUCAUCCAGGGGAAUAAUUUUCCCAUCUUUGUAUAUCCUCCGAUAAACAUAAGAAGCUACUAUUGGCAGACGGGCAAUCAGAUUGAGAGAGUCCUCAUACGUUGGCUCCCAGUACUUUGAUUUGGGAAUCCCUUUGUCAUAUGCUUUCUGAAAUUCACUUUGCGCCUGAAGGGCCAUAACACCAGAUCCAAACUGAGUCAUUGGAUGAGCUGAGACAGGUAAAGCAUCAAUGGCCUUAUACACAUAAUCUGGAACAGUGGCACGAUCACGUAAUUCCUUUGACAAGGCAUCAACCUGCUCUUUGCUUGGUACCUUUCCAGUUAGAAGAAGCCAAAGAAGACCCUCAGGUAAAGGUUCUCCACCAGGCUUUGCACCUGGUAACAAUUUUUGGCAUUCAGGAAUUGACAGCCCCCUAAAGCGAAUUCCCUCAUCUGGAUCAAGUAAAGAGGUUUCCCACAACAAUCCUGUCAUUCCUCUCAUCCCACCAAGUACCAUGUCAACUGUAAUAUUUCCCAAUUGAACUUUUCCAUGUUCUGUCUUGAUUUUAUUGAGGCGCUCCUGUUGCUCUGGGAUCAAUUCCUUUAGCUGAGAAUGAAGGUCCUAAAUGUCCAAAAGAAAGAAAGAAAAACUAUAAAACAGCCAUUAACGGAACAUAAGAAAACAAAUCCAUACACCAGUAAAUCUCAAUCAAUAAAAACUCUGAAAAUCUGACAAAAAUAUAUAACCCAGAGCAUUUUUAUUCACUAUACGGAAAAAUCAUUAUAUGUACCAAUGUACACGUCUUCUCCCAACGUGACUACAUGCAGCAUGCGUUAUACUUCCUGUACCAUCUAGCGCACAGCAAAGACAACGUUCUAAAUCUUUCUAAAUUCAAACAUGUCAAGGUAAUAUUUUUUAAGUAGGUGGUAAAUGCUACAUAAUUAUUUAUACAAUCACACAUCCCCAUGUGCAUGGAUAGAUAAAGGAGGCGAAAGAGAGACACAGAGAUGAUUACAAGAUGGGAAGAGCUCUGCAUCUGGAGCCAUCUAACGGAAUAGCUGAGAUUAGACUGUUGAACAGCACAAGAACGAAGUCGCGAAAACAGAGAAACGCUUCUAAAGAACACCAUCGCUUACUUACUGACACUACAAUCACCAAAAACCAUCAAAUAUGAAUUCAAACAAAGAGACACAUAUUACAUGAUCAAAUUCAGCAGUUCGACGAGAAAAGGUGUUAAAUUGGAUCUCAAUGAGCAGCGACUGAAAGCCGAAAUGGAAAGCAACAGAAGGGAAACUAAAAUUGGAGGGAAAAGAAGAAGGUACCGAGUCAGAGGAGCGAUGCUAACAAGAGAAACAAGGGGAGAAAGAGAUGUGAUGAAUGAGAAGUGUACAUACAGGAAUAAAAAAUGCU